UACGGAGGGUGCAAGCGUUGUCCGGAUUUAUUGGGUUUAAAGGGUGCGUAGGCGGCCCGUUAAGUCAGCGGUGAAAUCCCGGGGCUCAACCCCGGAACUGCCGUUGAUACUGGCGGGCUUGAGUUCGGUCGAGGCGGGCGGAACUGGCGGUGUAGCGGUGAAAUGCUUAGAUACCGCCAAGAACCCCGAUUGCGUAGGCAGCUCGCUAGGCCGAAACUGACGCUGAGGCACGAAAGCGUGGGGAGCGAACAGG
rnacentral:rRNA from 1 species